rnacentral:rRNA from 1 species
CUGCGGAAGGAUCAUUACUGAGUGAGGGCCCUCUGGGUCCAACCUCCCACCCGUGUUUAUUGUACCUUGUUGCUUCGGUGCGCCCGCCUCACGGCCGCCGGGGGGCUUCUGCCCCCGGGUCCGCGCGCACCGGAGACACUAUUGAACUCUGUCUGAAGAUUGCAGUCUGAGCAUAAACUAAAUAAGUUAAAACUUUCAACAACGGAUCUCUUGGUUCCGGCAUCGAUGAAGAACGCAGCGAAAUGCGAUAACUAAUGUGAAUUGCAGAAUUCAGUGAAUCAUCGAGUCUUUGAACGCACAUUGCGCCCCCUGGUAUUCCGGGGGGCAUGCCUGUCCGAGCGUCAUUGCUGCCCUCAAGCACGGCUUGUGUGUUGGGCUCCGUCCCCCCGGGGACGGGUCCGAAAGGCAGCGGCGGCACCGAGUCCGGUCCUCGAGCGUAUGGGGCUUUGUCACCCGCUCUGUAGGCCCGGCCGGCGCCAGCCGACAACCAAUCAUCCUUUUUUCAGGUUGACCUCGGAUCAGGUAGGGAUACCCGCUGAACUUAAGCAUAUCAAUAA